ensembl:lncRNA
CCUUAUUAUGAGCUCUUUGUAAGGGAAGAGCCAAAGUCCCCCAUCCUGCAGACACUUAAGCAUGUCCUUGUGUUUAACGCUAUGAAUAGUCGCACAGGCUCCUCUGGGAGGAUACUUGGAUACUGAAAGUCAAGCACAUAACAAAGUGUGUGCAGGAUCACUGCCUAGGGAAUGAAACAGAGAUGGCUGCAGAAAAAAAAUCCUUAAUGAGACUCUCUUAAAAGGAACACUGGCGUUAUUAAACUGGAAAUUCUAACCAUUCUGCAAAGGAGAAUGAAUCAAGUUUGGAGCUUUUUGGGAAGAGAAAAGGACAGAAGAAGAACAAAGAGAAGACAUAAGAAUAAAUGAAACGUACUCCAGUUGAUUGGAAGGUAACCACCGAAGGAGUCUGGAAGCAACUGGAAUUCCACUGUGUUGAGUGCUGCACGAAUAGCUAGAGACAGUCCUUUCGCACCAUGCAUCAGGCGAAACAGCAGCAAUCUCCUAAAAGAUGGCAAAAGAAGAUACGCUCAGAGAUGUCUAUACAAUUAAGAAGAACAAUUCACUUUCUGCAUAUUCUGUUUAAUGCAGACCUUUUGCUUAAGGCUCUUUCAGCCUCCCAUGCUUUCUGUGUUAGAGAUUCAGCCCAAAGAAUGUUAACCUCACUCUCUCUCGUUCCUGGAAAGUACAAACCAAGAAGACAUCCUGCAGAAGCAAAUACCGUACCUCAGAGCAUUAUAUCAUCAAC